CAGAGUCGAAAUACUCCGUAAACCAUUGUGAACGUUACCUUAACCGUUGCUUCGGCGGGCGGCGCCCGGCCCUCGUGGCCCGCGGCGCCCCCCGGCCCCCUGCGGGCGCCCGCCGGAGGUAUACCUAACUCUUGAAUUACACGGCCUCUCUGAGUCUUCUGUACUGAAUAAGUCAA
rnacentral:misc_RNA from 1 species